rnacentral:rRNA from 1 species
UACGAAGGGUGCAAGCGUUGCUCGGAAUUAUUGGGCGUAAAGGGUAGGUAGGUGGUAAUAAAAGUCUGGGGUGAAAUCCCUGAGCUCAACUCAGGACGUGCCUUGGAAACUUUAUUACUAGAGUGCUGGAGAGGUCCGCAGAAUUCCCGGUGUAGCGGUGAAAUGCGUAGAUAUCUGGAGGAACAUCAGUGGCGAAGGCGACACCCUGGACUCAUACUGACACUGAGGUGCGAAAGCGUGGGGAGCAAACAGG